GACAUUCUUGAUACGCGGCGGAUGCGGCAGCGAUUAUAAUGGUCGCUAAGAAAUACUCCUCUUUUCUUAACAAGGCAAUCAGUUUUUAAAAUGAACUUGUUAGUAGGGGAGGCAGACCGUCAGGACUAUAAGUCGCGUACGCGACAAAAUAGCACUCGUACGCGACAAAAUAGCACUCGUUGCUUCAAGACGCUGCACGCGUGGGCUGAUGAUUUGGCCCAACUCCGCCCUCCUGCUGUUUUUUUUUUCCUGCUGCAAGCUGGCACGUGGAGGGAGAGGUGCCUCCGGUUUCCUUUUCUUUUCUUCCGUCCGUUAUUUGUUUCAUUCCUUCCGUGUGUUUUCUUUCAUUCGUUUUUUCCUUUUCCCUAUUUAUUUCUCUUCUCCGGUUAGCAUAUUCUCUUCCUUUCUUUUUCCUUUUUUAAUGGAAGCUUUUCCGUUUUACUCUUUUUUUUCUUUUAGUCAGAUGACAACCUAGCAUACUCACUUAUAUUAUAAUUUGAUUCGCAACUCAUAUAACUCUAUUAUGACUAUUUUUUCUUUUUUUCUUUUACUUCAAUUUUCAUUUCUUUUAUUUUAUCUUGUUUUUAUCUUCGACCUUAUUUCCAUUUCCUCAUUCCUUUUUCCCUUUUGAUUUCUUUUCCUUUUUAUUAGUUUAAUUAAUUAUUUUUAUAUUUUAAUUUAGAUUCUCUUCUAUAUAUUUCUUCGUACGUAAUUUAUAAUUUUUUUGCUUAUUUGAUUCAUUUUCCUUUUAUAUUUUUACUCUUCUCUUGUAUUUUUUAUAACACUAUAUAUUUUUCUUAGUACAUAAAAAAGUACAUUCAAGAUUAUUACUUAGUACAUUUAGUUGUUCUAUAUAGAUUUAUUAGUUUGGAGUGUAAAAUUAUGUGUUUACU
rnacentral:lncRNA from 1 species